AUAUGAAUGCUUCAAGCAAGAGCGUGCUGUUAACUAUUUGUCAAUUACACUUUUGCUGACCUUCAGUAUUAUCGUUAGCGUGGUUUACCUGAUAUGGAAGGAGCCUGUGUUUCAUCAGGUCAUGUACGCCGCGCUUGUG